rnacentral:lncRNA from 1 species
AAGAAAAACAAUGGUUCCCUUACUGCUGUUCCUGCUGCUGCAUGAGUCCCUGGGUGGCCAAAAUCCAAAUAACAGCUUUAACAAUACAGUGUGUUUCAACAUUUCAAAUUAUGGUAUCAGUGUCUCCACGGCCGAUCUUCACAUUUCUGUGAUGGAUCAUGCGGAGUGCCAGCAUUCUAGUCAACCGUGCGUCAUUCUAUGCAGCUACAGCAACGGGUCAUGGCUCAAUACCAGGUCUGGUUGCUUAGAGGCUCAAGUGACAAACACUUCCUUCAAGGUGGAGUUCAGCAUUCAAACAUGUAAGUGCACGUCUCCCAAAUCAAGUCAUUAAAACAGAGGCACAUAGGCUAUUAUACUUUGACUCGUAGCCACCUGGAACUUCUACCUUUUCUCUCUAUUUUUGUCCUGAAGAAAUGACGUGUCUUCAUCUCACUCCCUGUCUGUCUCAUUUCUCAGCCGUAAAUUGCACUAUAUACAAUUGUGAGAACUCGACCAUCAUCCCUUUGAUUCAAUCGCUGAACAGUCACAGCUCUGACCCUAGUGGAAUAAUUCAACUUUUCAAAACCAGGAGAUCAUGUUUGGAGCUCUUCAGGAAAGAUCGAGCAGUCAAGGAAGUCUUUAUAAAGCAAGUGCUGGUUGGUCCAUCACUGUGGUUCAGAUUUAAAUAUCUAUGAUAACACUGAUUAUACAUAUGUAUAUUUCUCUGCAGAAUGGAAACAAUGAUGAUCCAUGACAUUAUGGGAACAACCAAGUUUAAGACCAGACAGUCAGUCAAUUACAACCUGAAGAUGUUGUCUAUGAACGUGAUCAAUGUCACUGAUGAUAACUGUAGCGCUGAAGUAGCCAACAACCGCAUCCAGCUAGAGGCUCCGCAGCUACUGCCUGAGAACUCAUCCUUCGUCCCUGACAUUUUCCUGCCUGUGAACGCCUUGAAGACCAUCCCUGAGGAGAAGAGGAUUAUUGGUUUGGUCAGCUACAUGGAUCACAGCCACUUCCAAUUUGAAUUGGUGGAAGUAUCAUCGAUGGUUCAAAGGAUAGAGCUACAGGGAGGACAUCGUCUCCAAAAUCUGAAACCACCGAUCAAGAUGAAUUUCAGAGUUAGACACACAGAUGUGGCUGUAAGUCUAUUUGAAAAAAUAUAUUUUAAAACCAUGUCCUUAUUGUAUAUUAUGUUUAUAUGUUUUAAUCAAGGUCUUUUUCA